AAGAAAUUAGUUUUAAAUUAAAACAUUAACUUGUCAAGUUAAAAAUAUUAUAUUAAUAUUUCUUA
rnacentral:tRNA from 1 species